rnacentral:rRNA from 1 species
GAUCCUGGCUCAGAUUGAACGCUGGCGGCAUGCUUUACACAUGCAAGUCGAACGGUAACAGGUUAAGCUGACGAGUGGCGAACGGGUGAGUAAUGCAUCGGAACGUGCCCAGUCGUGGGGGAUAACGCAGCGAAAGCUGUGCUAAUACCGCAUACGAUCUAUGGAUGAAAGCGGGGGACCGUAAGGCCUCGCGCGAUUGGAGCGGCCGAUGUCAGAUUAGCUAGUUGGUGGGGUAAAGGCUCACCAAGCCAACGAUCUGUAGCUGGUCUGAGAGGACGAUCAGCCACACUGGGACUGAGACACGGCCCAGACUCCUACGGGAGGCAGCAGUGGGGAAUUUUGGACAAUGGGGGAAACCCUGAUCCAGCAAUGCCGCGUGAGUGAAGAAGGCCUUCGGGUUGUAAAGCUCUUUUGUCAGGGAAGAAACACCGGCUCUAACACAGUCCGGGAAUGACGGUACCUGAAGAAUAAGCACCGGCUAACUACGUG